AUGGGCGGCCAUUUCCUCCCCUCACGACCCUGGGCCACGCACCUCCAGUUUUCCACCCAAAUGGGGAUUUUGGCAUUUUCUUCCCUCACCCAAAAUCCCUCCUGCACCACCAAAUCAUCCCCUCAGGAUGUGGGGAAUCCUUUUUCUGCUCUUUUUUCACCCAAACGGGGAUUUUGGCAUUUUCCCCUCUCCCAAAUCAUCCCCUCAGGAUGUGGGAAAUCCUUUUCUUGUUUAUUUUCCACCCAAACGGGGAUUUUGGCUUUUUCUUCCCUCACCCAAAAUGUCUCCUGCAUCUCUCCAUGGGAUCUGGGGAAUCCUUUUCUUGCUCUUUUUUCCCCCAAAUGGAGAUUUUGGCAUUUCCCCUCAUCCAAAAUGAUUCCUACAUCUCUCCAUGGGAUGUGGGUGAAUCCUUUUUCUGCUCUUUUUCCACCCAAAUGGGGAUUUUGGCAUUUUCCCCUCUCCCAAAAUCCCUCCUGCACCCCCAAAUCAUCCCCUCAGGAUGUGAGGAAUCCUUUUCUUGUUAAUUUUCCACCCAAACAGGGAUUUUGGCUUUUUCCCCUCAUCCAAAAUGCCUCCUGCAUCUCCCCAUGGGAUGUGGGAAAUCCUUUUCUUGCUCUUUUUCCACCCAAACGGGGAUUUUGGCUUCUUCUCCUCUCCCAAAAUGCCUCCUGCAUCUCCAGAUCAUUCCCUCAGGAUCUGGUGAAUCCUUUUUCUGCUCUUUUUUCACCCAAACGGGGAUUUUGGCAUUUUCUUCCCUCAUCCAAAAUGAUUCCUACAUCUCUCCAUGGGAUGUGGGUGAAUCCUUUUCCUGCUCUUUUUCCACCCAAACAGGGAUUUUGGCUUUUUCCCCUCACCCAAAAUGCCUCCUACAUCUCUCCAUGGGAUGUGGGAAAUCCUUUUCUUGCUCUUUUUUUCCCCCAAACGGGGAUUUUGGCAUUUCCCCCCCUCACCCCCCUCUGCCCAAAUCCCCCCAUUUUCAUCCAGCAAAGCCCAUGGCUAAAACUGCCUUUAGUUUAUUUCCUCCCCUCCAAUAAAUAUAUAUAUAUAUACAGUCUGAACUCAACAUUUACGUGUGUGUGUAUAUAUAUUUAUCCAACGCUCUCACACAACAAAAAAAAAAAAAAAACAACCUUUUUUUUGAAGAGGGCACGUGGAGCUGAGUUUUUAUUUUUUCCCAGUAACUCAGUAUAAUAAGCACUGGUAUUUUUGUAUAAAAAAAACAGGAGAGAAAAAAGGGGAAAAAAACCAAAAUAUGAAACAAAAGACUGAAUAUUAUGUGGUAUGCAUGACAUUAAAAAACAAAACAAUGGUGGUUUCAAAGCAAUAUGUACCCUGGUGUGUUUGCCAUAUCCUAGAGUCCAGCUUAAAGUGCACCUGAUCUGUAUUGCAUUUUGAUAUUAAUCUCUAUG
rnacentral:lncRNA from 1 species